CACGGGGGGAGGAAGCGUUGUUCGGAAUCACUGGGCGUAAAGGGCGUGUAGGCGGUCGAGUAAGUGGAAUGUGAAAUGCCUCGGCUCACCCGAGGACCUGCAUCCCAAACUGCUUGGCUUGAGUAUGGGAGAGGAUGAGGGAAUUCCUGGUGUAGCGGUGAAAUGCGUAGAUAUCAGGAGGAACACCGGUGGCGAAGGCGCUCAUCUGGCCCAAUACUGACGCUGAGGCGCGAAAGCUAGGGGAGCAAACGGG
rnacentral:rRNA from 1 species